GGAGUUCGAUUUGAAUAGGUCGUAAGUAACAAAAUUUAGGAAAUUAAGUUUAUUGUUUUGAACGAUAGAUUGUAUACUCUUUGAUGCGUGAAAAAAAUUUGGUGUCGAUAGUUUAUCCCGAUUUUUUUCAAAAAAGUUUAAACAUUUCGACCUAACCGACAACAUUAUUUUUACGCUGAAUCCUGUCCAUUCGACCUAAUGUCGGAAAAUGGUCGUAAUGUAAAAAAAAUACCUAAAUAUGAAAAAGUGUGCAUUCGACCUUAUGUCAGCAGAAGGUCUUAUGGAACAGAAGCUGUCAAACUCAAGAAAUUUGUUCUUACGACUUUUUGUUGGCAUUGAUUUUUAAAGAUUUUUGCUUAGAAUUAUUGGAAUAUCUGUACAUAAUUCCGUGAAUAGAGUGCGAAUAUAUUGAACUAGUAGUCAGAGAAUACGCAGCAAGGUGCAUGUUGUUGAGUAUUCCUCAGCGGAAAACUGGAAUCAUUUCAAAAAUGAUCUCGGAACCGUGUAGCUCGGUAGCCCUACAAUUAAUUCUAGGUCGGAAUAAUGUUAUCGAUCGCGAACUGUAUAAGCACUUUCAAUGCAUGCAGCCUGCCCCAAUCUCACAAACCGCAGGAAAGCACAGAAGAGCUGGAACUGCUGUAUUAUGAUUAGCUCUCCACCACCAAAUAUUGUCCAUUGCAAGAAACGAAAAAUGUAGCCAUAUCCGACUAUGCCUCGGAGUCGGACUAUCCAUAGCAGUUGUCAGUUCAGAGAAGUAUUUAGCUAUAAAGGUUUUGUGUUCAUAAUCACACAUGGCGAAGGCCCACAAGGAACCCUUCAACGCUGUCCAGGUCUUCGGACGCAAGAUUAUCGCGACCACCGUUGGGAACUGCAAGCGAGGAAAAGGUCUGCUGCGAGUGAACGACUGCUAGCUGGACCAGAUCGAGCCCAAGGUUCUACAGUAUAAGCUCCAGGAGCCGCUUCUGCUGCUCGGUAAGGAAAAUUUCGCCAGCGUCGACAUCCGGGUCCGCGUCUUUAGUUGUGGUUAUGUCGCCCAAAUCUACGCCAUCCGCCAGGCCAUCGCCAUCUGGUUUCCUUCUAUCAGAAAUAUGUGGAUUAAGGCUCCCGCAAGAAAUUGUAGGACAAUCUGAUCCAGUUCAACCGUUCUGCUGGUUGCCAAGUUCGAAGGUCCAGGUGCCCGUGAUGAUUAGAAAUCGUACCGUUAAGCUCUCUGGUGCUGUUACGGUUCUUGUAUAACGGCUCUGCUGGUAGUAGUCUGAUAAAG